GUUUCCGACGUCCAACUCGGUCAAAUGCAUUGGAACGCCUGUCCAAGCCGGAGGUCCUUGUUGCAAAGUGGGGCCAGAUCGAAGUACCCCAGCCUCACUGUGAACUACAAUGUGACAUCAACACAAUAAUGG